UACGGGGGUAGCGAGUGUUGUUCGGAUUUACUGGGCGUAAAGGGAGCGCGGGCGGUAAAAUAAGUCAGAAGUGAAAGGUUGGGGCUUAACCCCAAACCUGCUUUUGAUACUGUUUUACUAGAGUAUGCGAGAGGAGGAUGGAAUUCUAGGUGUAGCGGUGGAAAGUGUAGAUAUCUAGAAGAACACCAAUUGCGAAGGCAGUCCUCUGGUGCAAUACUGACGCUCAAGCUCGAAAGCUAGGGGAG
rnacentral:rRNA from 1 species